rnacentral:rRNA from 1 species
AACGAACGCUGGCGGCAGGCCUAACACAUGCAAGUCGAGCGGACCCUUCGGGGUUAGCGGCGGACGGGUGAGUAACGCGUGGAAUAUGCCCUUCUCUACGGAAUAGUCCUGGGAAACUGGGGGUAAUACCGUAUACGCCCUUUGGGGGAAAGAUUUAUCGGGGAAGGAUUAGCCCGCGUUGGAUUAGGUAGUUGGUGGGGUAAUGGCCUACCAAGCCGACGAUCCAUAGCUGGUUUGAGAGGAUGAUCAGCCACACUGGGACUGAGACACGGCCCAGACUCCUACGGGAGGCAGCAGUGGGGAAUCUUAGACAAUGGGGGCAACCCUGAUCUAGCCAUGCCGCGUGAGUGAUGAAGGCCUUAGGGUUGUAAAGCCCUUUCAGCUGGGAAGAUAAUGACGGUACCAGCAGAAGAAGCCCCGGCUAACUCCGUG